CUUCCUGGUUCACAAACUGGUGAUUGUGUCCAAGCCCCUGAGGCUGCUCGUGAAGGUGCACUUUUGGACUCAUCAGGCCUAGAACAGAGUUAAAACUACAGGACUCUAGCUCUAAACUGCGCUAUUGCACAGAACUGCACAAACCAUCUGAAUGCUUCCACAACUCUGGGAUCACUGUUUCGGCUCCAGGCUGCAUGCGCCCCUCCUGGGCAACGUGUCCAGUGACUCUGUGAUACGGGCAGUGGAACCCCGGUCCCCUGGCCAAAGUGCUGCU